rnacentral:rRNA from 1 species
UACGUAGGUGGCAAGCGUUAUCCGGAAUUAUUGGGCGUAAAGCGCGCGCAGGUGGUUUCUUAAGUCUGAUGUGAAAGCCCACGGCUCAACCGUGGAGGGUCAUUGGAAACUGGGAGACUUGAGUGCAGAAGAGGAAAGUGGAAUUCCAUGUGUAGCGGUGAAAUGCGUAGAGAUAUGGAGGAACACCAGUGGCGAAGGCGACUUUCUGGGCCUUACCUGACGCUCAGGUGCGAAAGCUAGGGGAGCGAACAGG